AUACGGAGGGUGCAAGCGUUACUCGGAAUCACUGGGCGUAAAGCGCGCGCAGGCGGGCUGAUAAGUUGGAUGUGAAAGCCUACGGCUCAACCGUAGAACUGCAUCCAAAACUGUCAGUCUAGAGUCUGGGAGGGGAAGAUGGAAUUAGUUGUGUAGGGGUAAAAUCCGUAGAGAUAACUAGUAAUACCAAAAGCGAAGGCGAUCUUCUGGAACAGUACUGACGCUGAGGCGCGAAAGCGUGGGGAGCAAACAGGAUUAGAAACCCUAGUAGUCC
rnacentral:rRNA from 1 species